UACGGAGGGUGCGAGCGUUGUCCGGAAUUAUUGGGCGUAAAGGGCUCGUAGGCGGUCGGUCGCGUCGGGAGUGAAAACUCAGGGCUUAACCCUGAGCCUGCUUCCGAUACGGGCAGACUAGAGGUAUGCAGGGGAGAACGGAAUUCCUGGUGUAGCGGUGGAAUGCGCAGAUAUCAGGAGGAACACCGGUGGCGAAGGCGGUUCUCUGGGCAUUACCUGACGCUGAGGAGCGAAAGUGUGGGGAGCGAACAGG
rnacentral:rRNA from 1 species